AAGACAAGGUUUUACUCUUGGGUUCGUACUACAUUACUCUUCUUGCACACGAUCCACCAUUGGAGAAAACCUGUCAGGUUCGAGUUGAUGAACGAGAAUAUGGCAGUCGCUAUUGUGGUGCGUUGUUCAAUGUUUUAAUACAAGUCAAGAGUAUAAAAUCAAAUCUCACUUGCUGAAUUAAUAAUGUUGCAUAGCGGCGGGCGGCGGAGACCACCAAGGAGCACUUCAUACCUCACUUUCAUGGUAGCGCAGUGUCAGAUGGUGUCUUCCAAGGUCCAUUGCCUGAUUGGCCGUCAGAUGAUGCUUUCAAUCAUGAUAGAAACCGGUUUUACGUGCUGAAGAUAUCAGAGUGGCAAGCCACUGAUUGGAUUUCUCUAUAUUUGGAACUUUUGAUUUUUGAUUUUUUUUUUGGUGAAAAAUCAAACUGAGUACAGAAUGGUUUGUUGGUACACAUAAAAAGAUGAGUAAUAAUCAAAUCAAAACAAUAACUUUACAAUUCAUGCCACUAAACGGCAACCCAAAUCGUGUAUAAUAUCCUCACAAAUUAGCUGCAACAAACGUAAAUACGCUAAAUCUUAAUAUUAAUAA